UACGUAGGGGGCUAGCGUUGUCCGGAAUCAUUGGGCGUAAAGAGCGUGUAGGCGGCCCGGUAAGUCCGCUGUAAAAGUCAAAGGCUCAACCUUUGAAUGUCAGUGGAUACUGCCGGGCUAGAGUCCGGAAGAGGCGAGUGGAACUCCUGGUGUAGCGGUGGAAUGCGCAGAUAUCAGGAAGAACACCGAUGGCGAAGGCAGUUCUCUGGGCCGUAACUGACGCUGAGGAGCGAAAGCGUGGGGAGCGAACAGG
rnacentral:rRNA from 1 species